rnacentral:rRNA from 1 species
GAUGAACGCUGGCGGCGUGCCUAAUACAUGCAAGUCGAGCGAACGGACGAGAAGCUUGCUUCUCUUAUGUUAGCGGCGGACGGGUGAGUAACACGUGGAUAACCUACCUUUAAGACUGGGAUAACUUCUGGAAACCGUAGCUAAUACCGGAUAAUAUUUUUAACCGCAUGGUUCAAAAUUGAAAGACGCUCUUGCUGUCACUUAUAGAUGGAUCCGCGCUGCAUUAGCUAGUUGGUAAGGUAACGGCUUACCAAGGCAACGAUGCAUAGCCGCCCUGAGAGGGGAUUGGCCCCAUCGGGACCUGGGAACCGGCCAAACCUCCUACGGGAGGCAGCAGAAGGGAAUCUUCCGCAAUGGGCGAAAGCCUGACGGAGAAACGCCGCGUGGGUAAGGAAGGUCUUCGGAUCGUAAAACUCUGUUAUUAGGGAAGAACAUAUGUGGAAGUAACUGUGCACAUCUUGACGGUAACUAAUCAGAAAGCCACGGCUAACUACGUG